rnacentral:lncRNA from 1 species
CGCUGUCAGCUGGAUGCGCCUCGUUUGAAUCCUGUGUGGAUCGCCGGCCGCCCGCAGCCAUGGGCGCGUUCGUCUCCUUGUCCGCCGGCAGCUGGUUGCACGCCUUCUCCAUGGCCACAUCAGCCAAGGGCCCAAGGUCCGUUCUCCCCAUGACCAAGUUGCAAUCGACGAUGACGGCGACGACGUGUUUGUUCUGAAACUAAGGGGUUUGCUGGAAUCAGGUUCUUAUUUUGCUGGAUCCACCCAUCUGUUUUGAUACAACCCUUUUUCGUUUUUGCUACCAUCCCCAUUCAAUUUUGUUGAGCAUCUUCAUUUUUGCUGGAACCAGUGCCCCAAUUAGCUGGAACCAGCUCCUAGAUGUGCUAAAAGGUCGACGCAUUGCCGGAGGGCUGCAUCCAACAUCGUUUGACGCAGGGAGCUACAACCGGCGACUGGGGGGAGCUGCAAGAGGGGGGUGCCUGUGUUUUUCUGAUGCGUCUUUUUUUGCUGAAUUUUUGUUCUUUGCUGGAACCGAUGUAUUGUUUUGCUGGAACUGAGAAUUUUUUUGCUUCGCCGGCAUUUGUUUUUGAUGCGUAGGAGUUUGAUGCAUACGAGAGGUUGCAUCGUGCUGGAACCAAGUCCUAAUUUUGCUGGAACUGGCAUUUGUUUUUGAUGCAUUUGUUUUACUCGAUGCAGAGUUGCAUCGACUUCUUUUUUGGCGGCGAGAUGUGACGGCGACGAGCUGCAAUCGAUGAAGACGGCGACCUCCCAGGAGCGAGACUCUGAGUGCGACCGGUGAAGAAAUUUAGCUGCGACCCACAAUAGAAAUGCUUCAACAAGCGACAU